AGAUACCAGGGUCACAAGGUCUGACACCACGUGUACUCGCACACUAGUGGUAAAAUGACCUUGUGACCCGCCCCAAUAUGAGCAUAAAAGCGGGGCGUAAGCACUACGAUAUGCGAAUGUUGGGUAGGAUUGUGGGAGCACAUAGUGCGUAACAAUCCGUAGGUAUCA
rnacentral:ncRNA from 2 species